rnacentral:rRNA from 1 species
GUAGUCAUAUGCUUGUCUCAAAGAUUAAGCCAUGCAUGUCUAAGUAUAAGCAAUUAUACCGCGAAACUGCGAAUGGCUCAUUAUAUAAGUUAUCGUUUAUUUGAUAGUACCUUACUACUUGGAUAACCGUGGUAAUUCUAGAGCUAAUACAUGCUAAAAAUCCCGACUUCGGAAGGGAUGUAUUUAUUAGAUUAAAAGCCAAUGCCCUCUGGGCUCUCUGGUGAUUCAUGAUAACUUCUCGAAUCGCAUGGCCUUGCGCCGGCGAUGGUUCAUUCAAAUUUCUUCCCUAUCAACUUUCGAUGUCUGGGUAUUGGCCAAACAUGGUUGCAACGGGUAACGGAGGGUUAGGGCUCGACCCCGGAGAAGGAGCCUGAGAAACGGCUACUACAUCCAAGGAAGGCAGCAGGCGCGCAAAUUACCUAAUCCCGACACGGGGAGGUAGUGACAAUAAAUACUGAUACAGGGCUCUUUGGGUCUUGUAAUUGGAAUGAGUACAAUUUAAAUCCCUUAACGAGGAACAAUUGGGGGGCAAGUCUGGUGCCAGCAGCC